GCCGAGAUCGCAUAAUCUGGUAUUGCACAGGACUGGAACUCCUGGCCCUUUUGGGCAUCUGGGUUCAAAUCCCAGUCUCGGCG
rnacentral:tRNA from 1 species